rnacentral:misc_RNA from 3 species
ACUCUUCAACCCACCAGUUUCUAGUAGACUGUUUGUGGUGUUUGGAUCUUGAGCGCUGCUAGUCUGACUAGCUCGUUCGUAAUACAUUAGCAUCUCUAAUUCGAAUUCGGAUUGACUCAGUGUAAUAGACUAUUCGCUGAGGACACUAUUAAUUUAGUGGCCGUACUAGAACCAGUAGAAGCUUCAAACUACUUUAGUCAACUUUGA